rnacentral:rRNA from 1 species
ACUCCUACGGGAGGCAGCAGUGGGGAAUAUUGCACAAUGGGCGCAAGCCUGAUGCAGCAACGCCGCGUGAGGGAUGAAGGCCUUCGGGUUGUAAACCUCUUUUAGCAGGGAAGAAGCGAAAGUGACGGUACCUGCAGAAAAAGCACCGGCUAACUACGUGCCAGCAGCCGCGGUAAUACGGAGGGUGCGAGCGUUAAUCGGAAUUACUGGGCGUAAAGCGCAUGCAGGUGGUUUGUUAAGUCAGAUGUGAAAGCCCGGGGCUCAACCUCGGAAUAGCAUUUGAAACUGGCAGACUAGAGUACUGUAGAGGGGGGUAGAAUUUCAGGUGUAGCGGUGAAAUGCGUAGAGAUCUGAAGGAAUACCGGUGGCGAAGGCGGCCCCUGGACAGAUACUGACACUCAGAUGCGAAAGCGUGGGAGCAAACAGGAUUAGAUACCCUGGUAGGUGA